UUUUUUGUAGUAUGGAAGUUGUAAAGCUGUGUUUUAAUAGGAUUACCUUAGGAAUAAGAGGACUGCUUUUUAAAGAUACGAGAUCCCGCUGCCUUGGCAAUUCUGUUAUCAGAAAGAUAGUGAUUUUGAUACAAAACAGUAAGAAACUGUAGAAUUGCAGGACCCAUAAUCCUCACAAGGAAGAUUUAGAGAGUGCUGUGUGUCAAUCACUCAUCAGCACCUCACAGAUAUUAUCUCAAUUCGUCCUGGCAACCAUCACUGCCCCUACUUAGCAGUCUCAGAGAGGAGACUCAACUCACACAGGGGCCAAGAGCUGGACCACGGCCAACCAGGGGCAGCAGAACGCCACAGUGGUUGAGCAUGGGCUCUGGUGAAGGAUGGCGGGGGUUCAAAUCCCAGUUCUCCACCUCUCUGCUUCGCUCCGAUUCCUGGGCCUCUGAGCUGGUCUCCUCCGCUGUGGAGUAACAGUGUGACUGCUCAUCUGCACAGAUUCCUUCUGUGCUGGACACGGUUCCAACUUUCCAACUACUCCCGCAGGAGCUCAUUUAGUGGAGACAAGAUCUUGCUCAGUGUCAUAGUGAGGAAGAAAUGGAAAUAUCUGUGCAGGGCCCAAGCCCGGCCUGGUGCGGGAGAGGCAUUAAUAAACGCAGCUUGAGUUCAGAAGCAGGUGGUCUGUGGCUCACUCAGCCUGGCUUCCUGCUGGGUCUUCACAGUGCUGGGCUACCUUCCUGGAGAGAACCAAAGUCCAGGCUGUGUAGAUGCCUGUGGUCCACCAGCGCAAAGCAGCGGCCCAUCAGGACGCUUCGGAGGUAGAUGCGUCUGAGUUCCAUGACAUCGGGGACAUGGCCCCACUCCUGUUCUGGAGGUCACGGGCCUGCUGAACCUCUUGUACCAGGUCAGCCACCAGGUUCAUCUGGCAGGACCUGAGAGCCCCCACCAGGUGGGCCACUGUUGCGUUCUCCUUCUCUGUGUUCUU
rnacentral:lncRNA from 1 species